UAAAUUCUCAAUCCUCCUUGGUUUUUCCAAAGGGGGCUUGGAUUGUGGAGGUUGUUGCAGGCCAGACAGGUUAGCUCCUCUGAAAUGCAUUAGCGGAACCAUUUUGUGAUCCAUCACAGGUGUGAUAAUUAUCUAUGCCUAUGGGAUUGCUCUUUGAUUGUUCAGCUACAAAUUGUCCAUAGGACAGCUUACUGAAC
rnacentral:misc_RNA from 1 species